rnacentral:lncRNA from 1 species
AUAAAUUAAGACACCGAAUUAAUUGUUUUUAGGAAAAACUUCAAAUAUCACCCGUGUAGUGUCGCACUUUUCACUUUAGUACUCUAUGAUUUAAAGUGUAUCAAUUUAAUACCCUAUAGUUUCGCACUUUCUCACUUUUGUACCCUGUGGUUUAAGGUGCAUCAAUUUAGUACCCUGUGGUUUCAUUUUUUUCUUUUCGUCGGUUCCUUCGUUAAAUUAUAUACAAAAAACUUAAAAUACUCUACCUAGAUUUAUCGAAUAUUUACUUUAAUACCCUUUAGUUUUAACUUUGUCACUGAUUUUUUUUCCUCCAUUAAUAUUUAGUUAAAUUAUAUACAAAAAACUUCAGAUACUAUACCAAGAUUUAUCGAAUAUUUACUUUAGUACCCUUUAAUGUUAACUUUGUCACUGAUUUAAUAAAAAAAUUAGUGAAAUAGAUAAUAAAAGAGAAAAAUAAAACCACAUAGUACUAACUUGAUACAUUUUAAAUCAUAGGGUAUUAAAAUAAGAAAAUACGAAACCACAUGAACUAACUUGAUACAUUUUAAACCACAGAGUAAUAAAGUGAAAAAGUGUGAAACCACGAGAGGGUAUUUGAAGUUUACCCU